AGAGUUUUAGAAUAGGGGCCCCAAACGUUUUGGGGCCCCAAAGAAAUAGCGUCGAAGCCACUGCGCAUGCGCGAGACGCAAACUGCGUUUGGGUUUUGCGUUGGGAACGCUAUUUCACCGAUUUAGCGGGAGCUCAAAUAGCGUUCCCAAAAGCUUUGCGUCAACGAACAUGGCGGCACCCAUCGAAGCGACGGCUCUAACCUAGCACCAAACUGGGUUCGAUUCGCGGUAAUGCGUGAAGUUCGUAAGCUAGGAGAAGUGACUGCAGUUAUCGCUUUCUCUCAACUAGCGUGUGUUAUGAAGAUUGAUUCAUUAGACGCCGUUGAUUCCGAAUUCGAGUGUGGAUUUUAUGGCUCGUAGGCCUAACAUGGCUAAGCUUGGCUGGUGAAGGAACGUAAAGUUGGUUUUGUUGCUCCAAACUAAGCACAACUAAUUGUUUGCUGCUUGAAGAAUAACCUCUAAAUUGUAAUUAAACGCGAAUACACGCAAGUCAAAAUUACUAUUCAUAUCAUAAGAUGGUAUAUUUUAUUUAAUUAUUUUUAAUCGUUUUUCUUAGACGCCGUAGUGGCGCUGUCAGCGCAAGACGCUAUCUGCAAACGCAAAGCCCUAUUCUAAAACUCUUCACUCCUGCGUGCCCCAACGCUAACACCCGCAAAGCUCUUUGGGGCCCCAAAAUAUUGGGGCCCCUAUUCUAAAACUCUCUAAUACCAUGACGCCAUCUUACAGUUGCGCUGCAUCACGCGAGUACGUUGUCGUUGAGUGGUUCUGAAAUCGCUGCGUUAGGGGCGACUGCAACCAGGCGUUGCGGCAAGUUACGGUGGGAGCUUCUGUCCGUGCUGUGUGAGUGCGACGAGGGGGACCGCCGCCAGCAGCAGCGUGUCGCCGAUUUCGUCUUUGCCGACAUCGAGCAAGUGCAGCUCGCCGGACCGUCACAAGCGCCCGAUGUGCGGCGGUUUGCUCUGCAUCUUUCAUUGUGAUAUGGGAGAUCGCAACGGACAGAGACCAGAUGCAUACGAACGACUACCAGCGGGGAGUGACCUGUGACAUAUUUCUCUUAACGUCUCAGGUAUUCCAAGAAAUGGCAACAGCCAGAAGUCACCAUCCUAUCCAGCACGUUAUGGGUACACUCUGGCGGCUCCUACCCCUGCGUCCUACCAUCGCCCUGUCCUGACUACGUCCACUAGAGAGUUGGGAGCCUUUGGUGGCUUCUGCCACUGCAUCCUGCCACCACUAUGUCCCGACCACGUCCACUAGGGAGUUGGCAGCCUUAGUGAUGAUGCCAAGCAGGCUGACAGCAGACAGAAAUAAUCAGGUUGCCUUGAAAUUUUACCCAAGCCAUGCCACAUACUCGGGCCAGGCCUCUUGCGAACUGCGUAUAACCAGGCUCAACGCAUCAGUGUCGAGUGAGUCCGGAGAUCAAGGAAAUCUGCUGUGCAACACUUGGUGACCCCUCUACGUGUUCCAUCUAUUUCACAGCUGUACCUCAGUUUCCAUCUAUCCAAACAGCAUCACCAGCUGUUUCUUAUCUUAUCGAACACUUAUCGAACCAUGGAUGAAUGUUGGGGUGGAGUGAUUUGAACAGACAUUCUAUUUGUCUCUUCAAAUUCUUUGCAAAUAUUUCUAUUAUUAUAAUUCAUAUGUUUCUUUAGUACCUAGUUUUUAAUAGUUCCUUUCUUGUAAAGUUCUCACCAUCAACUCCUGCUAUUAUAAUGUAUACCUGUCUUUAUGCCCCGUUUCUCAUAGUUCUUUUGUACUUGUGGAUGUAAUUGAUAGGCUCUUAAUUCUUUUUGUACAGAAGGCUAAAAUGCAAACUUACGGUAUUUUUUUCUUCCUUUGAUAACCUACAGCACUGCAAUGUGUUCAAGAAAUUUAACAUAACACGGGCUCUGGUGCAGGAUAAACUUAAGAGCAAUAUAGAGUACUUAUUUCAAGCACCCAUUAUUUUUGAAAAACUCAAGGAUAUAAGAGCACAAGAAAGAAAAUAUUAAACUAGAGAAACAUGGGUUCCCCUCAUAAGUCUGGUAAUAAUGUGACUUGUUUUCGCUGCAAUGAUACCAGUGGUACUCACAUACAAGGUUUGAGACAUAAAAGCUAUGAUACCCUUGGCAUUUCUCAGUGCUUAUUUGCCACACUGACGAAUGUCAAAGGCAGCAUAGGUUUCAUGCACACAUUGGUUAAAUUACACCUUUUGAGUAUUGCAUUUCUCAAACAUAUAGGUUUACAGCAGUGCUUUAAAUAGAUGUUUUUUCUAAUUUUCAGAAUUUCUUAAUGCAAGAUUAACGCUACAGAUCAUGUAUAAAUAAUUUUACAGACUAUAUGUCCAUGGAUGCAUGCUUCUUCUGAUGACGAAGCAGUGCCAUGUGGUCGGGGGAUGAAUGUCUUUAUUUCAGAUUUAAACAUUGGCUUCCAGGUCUGGGUUAGUCUCCUACACUGAGUAUUCUAGGUCAGAGCCCACUUACUAGAGGAAAGUGAAUUAAACUAGGAAUUGUUAACACCAAAAGAUCUUGUUUGAGACAAUAACGUGACAAUCAGCAAGGUUCUUUGUGCAUUCAUUUCCAAAUUUGUGAGAUUAUAUUUUGACUGGUUUCACUAACAUGAGAACAAAUAUUUGUUUGUUCUCACACUAGAGUUGGCUGCCCCCAUUGCCACACAACCCCUUUACAGGCUAAAAAUUCUGUGUAUUAAUAGGCUGUUUUUUGGUUUUACGCACUCAGUGUUAAGGGAUCCAAACGGUGACAUACAACAGAAUGCAGAAAAGUGACUAAGGAAUACAAGCAGGGCGUAGGGCUUUUUAGGCAGAUGCAUGCAUGUGCUAUUUAUAAAACUCACUAUGGUAUGCCUGAAGGCAUUUUCUAACCCUUUUGUAGAAACACUAUCACCCACUUAUUAAGGGGAAAUGCUUCUCGAAACAACAUUUUUAAUUAUUUGUGCUAGAGGUUUGAAUAUACUGCCAUUCAUAGGGAGUUUUAUGUAGAUUUGAAUUGUCAUUGGUUUUUGUAUAGCUGGUGUUUUUUAGUUAUGUCCUACAUAGUGGCAAAAUAUUUUUAUGUGUACAUGUAAAUAUUUCCCAGUAAUUUUUUCAGGCUACAAAUUUUGGUAAUAAUGUUAUUUGUUGCAAAAACGGCUAGUACAUGGCAUUUAAUAGAAAAGGUAUUGGUCUGUAGAUUUUCUGUCUUCAGCAUUUGUUCUGUUCCGCAGCUGUUUCUUGAAAUCUGAAAUGAUGUACCCAUCUCUUUGUUAGCGAUAAACAGGGAAAUCUGUCAGUAUGUUUUGUUUAAAAUGGAGCUGACCAACCCAAUAGUUAGGCUAUUUUCUAAUUAUAAAUUACAACAAUAAUAGUACAGGACCAUAAAAACAGAUUGAUGCUGAAUAACAGCUGUGCCCAGCUACGUCCACGCAGCUGUGCCACACAAUGUGCAUGUGUUCAGAAGAGCGAAAUGCCCCAGAGAGAAAGCAACAGUAACUUAUUGUUCGUCAUCUUGUACAAGCAGAUUAUGCGCUAGAUGUAAUUUAUACUCAGUAAAUACAUAAAUCAGUCAUGUGAGGUGUCUCGCUUUAGGUUGCAAAUUCGAACUUCUUGUAAUCUUGCUUGUUUUUAUUUUGUUUCCUUUGUGAGCAUGAGUGACUUAGUUGCCUUGGCACAUAUUGUCAAAACUGUUUCUUCUCUGGGAAUCGCAAAAUUUCAAUUACACAUAAUAUUCCCAGUUACUGAUAUGGUAGACUUCGAGCUUAAUUCUCUUAUCUUUCAUAUGUUUAUCUAUCAAAUAGUUUUAUCAUUCAUUGAAACAUAUCCAUGCAAUGCACAGUGGGAACCCAAAUUAAAAAUAUAUGUUCUUGCUUUCUACCCUGCUCUACAACAUAAUGAAGAUACAAAGCAAAACUAUAAGUUUGCAAUUGUCCUCCAUAACCAGAGUUUCGCUUAGAAUUUGAAAAACAAAAUUGACAUCCUGCUAUGGUGUUAGAGUUGCUUUGGGCACCAAGUGAACUGCGUAGCACCUGUGCUAGAGUACACAACAAAGCAGAAAAUCGCACCAGAUUGGAAUGGCAGUGGUAAGUUAAGAACUGAUGUUUUAUUUCGCGCACCAUUAAUGUGGCUUAUCAUCUGCUCCUGUUUUGUUUUGUGGGAACGCAUAAAUUGGGAAGACAAUUUUUUGCACCAAUCUUACCUUAGCGGGACACCAGAGAAAGGUAGAAAUCAACAACAGGUAUUCACACUUUGUUGCCCACAGUGUAUUAUCUGGAUGUGUUUCACUCUACAAAAGACUACUCUGGUAGAUAAUCAUAAAGAAAAAGACAAAAGAAUUAAGAGGUAUGUGUCAGUCAUCCUUCCAUGACCUCCAGUGUUUAUAGAAACACUGCUUUCUGUAUAUGUGCUAAGCCGUUGGGAGGCUUUACGUAACUCAGUCAUGCUUUCCAAGUUAAAAAUCGGAAUAAGGACAAUCACAAGAACAUCAUGCGAGUGAUUUGUAAAUGUGGCACCUAGUGUAACAUAUUUACGUAUGUGCUGAGGGUAGAUUACACCCAGUGCAUAAUCUGCUCUUACAGGAUAACUUGUGAUGAGUAAAAAAAGCCUUCCUCACAUCUUCCUCUUUGUUUCUUUUGGAUCUUGGUGCACCAUGUGUAUUGUUGCAGCUGCGUGCAUGCAGCUGGGUAUAGUUUGUUUAUGUAUUCUGCUUCCUCCCUUGUCCUCAUUAUUCAUGUGCUAUCUUUGCCGUAACAAAAUACAGCUACCUGUGCUACAUAUUUUGUCAGCGUGUUUGCAUUAUGGCAAGUUUUGUAUUAGUGGUUAUUGCAAUCUGUGAAAUUGCCUGUGUCAGCUAUUAUGCUUCGUCUUGGAAAAGUAUGUUUGUCAACAUAAAUAAACAAUUAGUAUAAAUGUUGCUGUAUUUAUUUUUGUAAUAUUAUCUGUUGUGAAGCUUUUAUACACUGUUGCAUGUUGUAUGACAGAAUAAAAUUGAUGCACAACUUUUUAA